AGAUCAGCUUUUAUGAAAGCUAGCAUAUAAAAAAUUUAAAAUUGGUAAUAAAAUUGAAAGGUAAGGCCAUAAUAAAAAUAUUCCGAGAUUCUCAUCCCCGCCCGCCCUGAUUUUAAACCCCCGCCUCGAUUUUUUUUAUUUCUGUUUUUCUUCGUCUUAAUUCUGAUCGGGAUCGGUAUUCAUCUAUCAUUCUACUUUCGUUUUAAAUCUCGCGAAUGUCAACAUGAUUUUGACAGCUGAAAAGAUGGUUUUGGGGUUUUUCACCACAAGAGCAAAUUAUACAACUUUAUUCUACAAAAUGUUAGAGACUGAGACUUGGAGUCAAAGUCAACAGACACGCUUGCAUGGACAUGAAGGAUGUAAAGAACUAGAGUAUUAUAACUGAAAGCAUUUUGUCUGGAUUAGUUUAUGGAAACAGAAGGAUUUAGUAUUGGUAUCCUGAAUUUGUCAACUACUAGCCAAGAUCCUGUAUGUAAGCUGAAUGUGGAGGACAGAUGUACACAUAGUACUAGUAUAGAGGGUAUCCUGAAUUUGUCAACUACUAGCCAAGAUCCUGUAUGUAAGCUGAAUGUGGAGGACAGAUGUACACACAGUACUAGUAUAG